rnacentral:lncRNA from 1 species
CAUAGGAGUUGAAUCUUCAUUAGCAAUAGUUAUUUGUGUUGAAAAUUCGGGAAAGUUAGUUGUACCACCACUCGAAAAAAUUUCAUUAACCAUCGGCAUGUAACCAUUAAACGGGGGUAUUUGAGAUGGAUUUCUCAACAUAGUUCCAUAAUAUGGAUGAAAGUUUGGAACAAAGGAUGAUUGGUUGAAAUUUGGUGUUAAACCAAAAUUAGGUGUGUUUUGAGGAUGUUGAUUGAAAAAUUGAUUUGAAUUUUGAUAAUUGUUGGGANNUUUGGUUUUUUUUUCUGUGUCCAAAUGAAAUGAACCAAGUCUCUAUUUGUAGAGAAAAAAAAAUCACGAAUUUUGGUAUAAAAAUUAAAAAUUUAAAAAUUAAUUUUCAAUGAAAUAAUUGAGUUCAAAG